rnacentral:lncRNA from 1 species
ACCAUACAGUUAUGCACUGCCAAUAAGUGAAAAGGUCAAGAAAAGCAGUAGCUCAGUGGCUGAAUUUUUCUGAAGCAGGGAAAGUGGGGAAACCUCUUAAAGUGGUGUCUUAUUCACCUAUCAGAAAGUUGCACAGUUGGUUUCCUUGCAAAUGUCGCUCAUCCUGCAGAGACUGGCUGAAGGGUUACUUUCAUUUUCUCCAGCACAGUGGUGACAGCAAAGUUGCGUGGUAGUGUAGUUACUAGCUGUAGACACCAAAGAGAAACCUUAGGUGUAAAGUUAAGGAAUUAUUGGA